rnacentral:lncRNA from 1 species
GGCUUUAAAAUAUGAGAGAGAGAAUGCAACUGUGUGAAAGCAUUAGCCUUGUAGAGAGACAAAGAAGUUAGAGAGAGAAAGAGUACCGAUUCAAGAGAAGCUCGACUGAAUCCAAGGGGAUCUGGAACGUCUCGUGAGGACUGUGAUGAGGUAUCUACGAGAUCGAUGGCCCAUCGACGAGGGAGCCCUUUUCCCUUCUCCAUUAAAACAAUAAUGAAACCCUCUGAAUCUAACAAUGAAAGCCUCUGAACCUUAUAGAGAAAUCAGAUUUUCGCAGAACCGAAAAAAUUCACUUCUUUCUCUACGUUAAAAACGAGAGAGGGAUCAACCAAUUUUUUUUUUUUUCUAACCUAGGGUUCAUAUAUAAGACAUUUAAAAGGCGAGAAACAUUCUAAAAAUACCAUAGAUAACCCAAAGAAUCUUUGGAAGAAAAUACGGUGGUCU